AAUUGUGUCUUGAGUUAUGAGAAUAAUGGGAUCAAAAUUAGCAGAGAAGAAGUCACAAUUGAGUCCUAUUGGACUGAGAAAUUGGUUGAGUGGAGGCAACGAUCAAU